AUUGAACGCUGGCGGCAUGCCUUACACAUGCAAGUCGAACGGCAGCACGGGUGCUUGCACCUGGUGGCGAGUGGCGAACGGGCGAGUAAUACAUCGGAACGUACCUUAUCGUGGGGGAUAACGCAGCGAAAGCUGUGCUAAUACCGCAUACGCCCUGAGGGGGAAAGCGGGGGAUCGCAAGACCUCGCGCGAUUAGAGCGGCCGAUGCCUGAUUAGCUAGUUGGUGGGGUAAAAGCCCACCAAGGCGACGAUCAGUAGCUGGUCUGAGAGGACGAUCAGCCACACUGGGACUGAGAAACGGCCCAGACUCCUACGGGAGGCAGCAGUGGGGAAUUUUGGACAAUGGGGGCAACCCUGAUCCAGCAAUGCCGCGUGAGUGAAGAAGGCCUUCGGGUUGUAAAGCUCUUUUGUCAGGGAAGAAACACCGGCUCUAACACAGUCCGGGAAUGACGGUACCUGAAGAAUAAGCACCGGCUAACUACGUGCCAGCCGCCGCCGUAA
rnacentral:rRNA from 1 species